GAGUUUUGAUCCUGGCUCAGGAUAAACGCUAGCGGCAGGCCUAACACAUGCAAGUCGAGGGGCAGCGGGUGGAGUAUUUCGGUACUCCUGCCGGCGACCGGCGCACGGGUGCGUAACGCGUAUGCAACCUACCUUUAACAGGGGGAUAAUCCGAAGAAAUUUGGUCUAAUACCCCAUAAUAUCAUUUAAGGCAUCUUAGAUGGUUGAAAAUUCCGAUGGUUAGAGAUGGGCAUGCGUUGUAUUAGCUAGUUGGUGAGGUAACGGCUCACCAAGGCUACGAUACAUAGGGGACUGAGAGGUUUUCCCCCCACACUGGUACUGAGACACGGACCAGACUCCUACGGGAGGCAGCA
rnacentral:rRNA from 1 species